UUUUUUUUUUUUGUAUACAUGGAAAUGAAAUCAGAUCUCUCAACUUUUGGCUACGUUCUUUUCAAAAACAGAAAACAAAAACAGAUUUUAGGUGAUUGGCAGUGCUUGGAUUUCCUACAAGUCCAGAAAAAACGUCCUCCAGUUAUCUUGUUAUAUAAGUUCGGACCAUGUUUUGAAAUCAUGUCAUGAACACGUUUGGAAUUCAGCGAUUUCAAGCAAAAGCACUAGGGUUCCAAGACACCAUACACCAACAGACCAAACAUGAAUUACACGAUCCCUUCAUGAAAUUCCACGGAAUUCAAACGGUAAACCUUACAGCGGGGGAGUUCAGACAGCAGGCAGCAGCCGGUUCGACGUUCAACACAGUACCAGUAUAAGUUUCAGGCUCAUGCUUUUAUUCUGUCCGACCCGGACGACACUCGGUGCGACAUCAUCAUAAUGUUCUCGAUCCCAUACCGAACUGUUACAGGCAUCAACAGCCAUGGAAUGGCAUAGCGCGGUGGAUAACGGCAUGUCUGCGACACUUCAGUUCAAAAUUCAGCAGGCGUUACACGACGUCCAGAAUACUUAUUACUACUGCAACGAGACGGCAUGGGCGCAGCAAAUGGCAGAGUUCCGUUCAAAAAAGGCCAUGGGAG
rnacentral:lncRNA from 1 species